CAAAGAAAGAAAGACGGAAAAUGAAAAAGGAAAGCACGAAAAACAAACCCCCAUAAUAAUUUUUUACCAACAACAACAAACAUAUGUUUUGCUACUUUCCCUAUCUCUCCUUAUUUUCCCUACAUAUCCAACCAACCAGAGCCUAUGUAAUAAAAUCCCGAAAGA
rnacentral:ribozyme from 1 species